CACAAAGUCUCCGGUUGUCAUUCCAGGGCUGCUGUGCCAUAGCUACAUUUAGAAAGUUGCAGGAGAAAAUAAACUGAUUAACAAGCAGCGAAACCUGCAAAUUAUGCCUCACUUAGGCUUAGAUUCAAGAAAACCCAGACCAAGCUUGGGAUUCUAAGAGUCUCUCCGUGCAAGCUGACCUCAUGGAGAAAGUGGCAGAGCUUGUCCCUUCCACUGGGAGACCCUGGAGUUCAUUCAGGAGACUGGAUGCCCCUGGGCUCGGGCUGCACUGUGGACCCCACUGUGGAAUCACCACUCCCAGGCUGACCUCAGGCAGGUUCCAGAUCUGUUCUCCACUUCUGCAACAAAACUUACCCGGGCCAUGGUUUUAUGCAGAAAUCUGACAAGGCAGGUCCAUCAAGAGGUUUCCAGAAGAAGGCAUCGCUAUCACAGGAGAUGGCAGCUCCAUGCCUGUUACUGCCCCUGAAGAUGUUCCAGUGGGACAGGGUGUGGAGGUGGAAGACAGCAACAGUGACGAUCCU
rnacentral:lncRNA from 1 species